CCCAUUGCUCCGGGGUGCACAGACAUUGGUCUGGCGCUGAGAUGGCCACCUGGCCGAACCCGUGAACUUGAUCCGGCUAGUACCGGCGAAAGAAGAGCGCAUGCCGAGGUG
rnacentral:ncRNA from 2 species